rnacentral:rRNA from 1 species
UACGUAGGGAGCAAGCGUUAUCCGGAUUUACUGGGUGUAAAGGGCGUGUAGGCGGGAUGGCAAGUCAGAUGUGAAAUCCAGGGGCUCAACCCCUGAACUGCAUUUGAAACUGUCGUUCUUGAGUACUGGAGAGGUUGACGGAAUUCCUAGUGUAGCGGUGAAAUGCGUAGAUAUUAGGAGGAACACCAGUGGCGAAGGCGGUCAACUGGACAGCAACUGACGCUGAGGCGCGAAAGCGUGGGGAGCAAACAGG